rnacentral:lncRNA from 1 species
GGGACAGACGGACACACGGGGACAGAUGGACACACGGGGACAGAUGGGGACAGACGGACACACGGGGACAGACAGACACCCAGGGCUGGGGCCCCUCUCACUGGGCUCCUCUCCAGGCUGAGCAGCCCCAGCUCCCUCAGCCUCUCCUGGACACCGGGACGCUCCAGGUCCCUGCUCAGCUGCAGCAGCUCCUGGCCCUGCUGUGCUGAGGAGCCAGGCCUGGACACAGCACCCAGAGGUGCCUCCAGGGCUGAGCCAGACUGCAGAUAUCCUGGUACAAGACUGGUGUGCUAAAUUUUAUUUUAAAAAAUAAUCUGACUCAAAUUUUCACACGAAUCAUAUAUAGAGUAGUUAUGUCAUAAUUUCUAAGGUUGAAGGUGUCUUCCUUCAUCUUGAAGUUCUAACCCUCUGUCAUUCACCUGAAUUAAUUCCCCAAAAUCAUAUAUUCUUGCAACCAUGGUACUUCAAUCAUACUCCAAGUCCCAGGUUCCCAGAAUGGUUUGGGUUGGCAAGGAUCUCAGAGGCCACCUUGUUCCACCCCUGCCAAGGGCAGGGACAUAUCAGGUACAUUAAGGUCACCAUGAUGCACACACCCUGACUUUGGGUGGAACCGGUGUCCUCAUGCCAGCUGCACUAAGCCAACCUCACUGAGGUUCCUGGAAAGGCACAGGCUUCUAAUUACUGUCAACAGAGCUCUUACAUUGUGACAUGAUGCAUCAAGGACAUGACAUCCUACAUUUCAAGCAGUGCUUCCCGAGCAGCGGCAUGAGCAUCUGCGAGACGGGCGGUGAGGAGCUCAGAGAGUGGAACAGGACACGUGGAGACGUGGCACAGCCAGGCUGGGACAGUGUGGGUAGCAAUCACAGCACUGGUGCCAGGGCAGGAGGCGAAUGCUCGUUCCCUUGGGAAAAGGUC